CCGGUGUCGGUAUUAUUUUAUUGUUUCGUUACUGAAAUUAGUGUGAUAAACUUAAAUUAGAUUUUGAAUCUAUUGUACAAAAACGUGCAUUUAUUGUGGUUCUUGGACUAACUUUGGAGUAACAAAAACAAAAGGACUUGUUCGGAACUAGAUUGAACACAAAGAAAUUCAAAUGUUAUCUGACUUGUUUAAGAUAUGUAUGGGCAGUAUAUAUAUGAUUCCUCAAUUGAACACGAAUGCCAAUACCCUUACAUCUUUUCGGGAAUCGGGAAAAAAUCGAUGAUGAGCCCUGAGGAAAUUCCAUGAAAUUGGUGAAACAAUGACGCGGUUAGGACACCUAAGGAAGACGGAGAAUUCAAUGGCUAAUGGUCCUAUAGGCUCUCACAGGAUUAGUUCUUGGAAUUAUUCGGUAUAUGUGGGAUCUAUCUUAAAACUUCUAAGAAAGCCACAACUGGAUGUUUGGUAAGUU